rnacentral:rRNA from 1 species
GAGUUUGAUCCUGGCUCAGAUUGAACGCUGGCGGCAGGCCUAACACAUGCAAGUCGAGCGGUAGAGAGGUGCUUGCAUCUCUUGAGAGCGGCGGACGGGUGAGUAAUGCCUAGGAAUCUGCCUAGUGGUGGGGGAUAACGUUCGGAAACGGACGCUAAUACCGCAUACGUCCUACGGGAGAAAGCGGGGGAUCUUCGGACCUCGCGCCAUUAGAUGAGCCUAGGUCGGAUUAGCUAGUUGGUGAGGUAAUGGCUCACCAAGGCGACGAUCCGUAACUGGUCUGAGAGGAUGAUCAGUCACACUGGAACUGAGACACGGUCCAGACUCCUACGGGAGGCAGCAGUGGGGAAUAUUGGACAAUGGGCGAAAGCCUGAUCCAGCCAUGCCGCGUGUGUGAAGAAGGUCUUCGGAUUGUAAAGCACUUUAAGUUGGGAGGAAGGGCAGUAAGUUAAUACCUUGCUGUUUUGACGUUACCGACAGAAUAAGCACCGGCUAACUUCGUGCCAGCAGCCGCGGUAAUACGAAGGGUGCAAGCGUUAAUCGGAAUUACUGGGCGUAAAGCGCGCGUAGGUGGUUCAGCAAGUUGGAUGUGAAAGCCCCGGGCUCAACCUGGGAACUGCAUCCAAAACUACUGAGCUAGAGUACGGUAGAGGGUAGUGGAAUUUCCUGUGUAGCGGUGAAAUGCGUAGAUAUAGGAAGGAACACCAGUGGCGAAGGCGACUACCUGGACUGAUACUGACACUGAGGUGCGAAAGCGUGGGGAGCAAACAGGAUUAGAUACCCCGGUAGUCCUAGCCGUAAACGAUGGACACUUGGUGUUGGGGGUAUUGAGUCCCCCGGUGCCGGAGUUAACACGUUAAGUGUCCCGCCUGGGGAGUACGGUCGCAAGACUGAAACUCAAAGGAAUUGACGGGGGCCCGCACAAGCGGUGGAGCAUGUGGUUCAAUUCGACGCAACGCGAAAAACCUUACCGGGGCUUGAACUGUAACUGCUACUCCUGGAAACAGGGGGUUCUCUUCGGAGACGGUUAUAGAGGUGCUGCAUGGCUGUCGUCAGCUCGUGUCGUGAGAUGUUGGGUUAAGUCCCGCAACGAGCGCAACCCUUGCCCUUAGUUGCUAACAGGUUAAGCUGAGCACCCUAAGGGUACUGUCGGCGAAAAGCCGGAGGAAGGUGGGGAUGACGUCAAGUCCUCAUGGCCCUUACGUCCCGGGCUACACACGUGCUACAAUGGUCGGUACAAAGGGUCGCCAACCCGCGAGGGGGAGCUAAUCCCAGAAAGCCGAUCUCAGUUCGGAUUGCAGUCUGCAACUCGACUGCAUGAAGGUGGAAUCGCUAGUAAUCGCAGAUCAGAACGCUGCGGUGAAUACGUUCCCGGGCCUUGUACACACCGCCCGUCACAUCACGAAAGUGGGUUGUACUAGAAAUCGCUGAGCUAACCCGCAAGGGGGGCAGGCGCUUAAGGUAUGAUCCAUGAUUGGGGUGAAGUCGUAACAAGGUAACC